UGAGCAGAUCGAAAUGCCGAUGAAGUGGAU
rnacentral:piRNA from 1 species